GCGGAGGGGGCGGGGAGGGCGCCGAGCGCCGGGCGGGCCUCGCACCCCGCCCGGGACGCGCCGGGGCGCUGCCAGAGGUCCGGUGUGGCCGGGGUUCGGCCCUCGGUGGCCGGCACGCGAGGCUCGGGCCGCCACCUACCCAGUUACCUGUGGUCAACCUCCUUCUGGAAUAGAUGACCUUCCUUUUGAGAUACAGGCAGAAAGUCAGUAGCUUCUUCUCAAGGCACACCUCAUUCUCCUCAGGCAGUCCUGGGUUACAGUCCAGUAAGUCAAGUUCAGGGAACAUCAUGUUUAUCUGAGAGUGAAAAGAAGCCCGAACUAAAAAACACACAGACAAAAAAAAGUAAGAAAUAAUUAUAAAUGUGGAUAUAAAUAGUUGAGAAUUUGAUUUUUUUUUCUCUACCUGGAGCAAUAAUUUGUAGCUUGUAACAUGAAGCAUAUUUUUACAGUACAUUUUAACAUGCAUAUAAUGGUUUCAAGCUUCCUUUUUGAAUGAGGCAUAUUUAUACUCCAAAUGCCACAUUUACUUAUGUGUUUCCAGUGUGUCUGAAUAUUUUGGGAAGGAAACAAAUAGGAUGAUUAUGUAAUUGCCACCAAUAUGUUUUGCGUUGCUUUGUUUCGCUUUUGAAAUAACAACCAUAUUAUACCAUAAGUGGCCGAUUCAGUAAGGAAGGCAACAGAUUAUUUGUUGCAUGUGCUGUAUGUGCCAGGCACUGUCACAGGCUCUGCCCUCAGAAUUCUGCCUCCAUAAAUUUUGUGGACGAAGGAGGGGAGCUAGCCAAAGAAACAAGCAGUUGCAAUGAGUUUAUGAAGGCAAGUGAAAACACAGUUAACUGCAGGGCAUCUAGGCAGGAGCACUUGGUCCAAGCUCAGGAAAUCAGAAAAGCCUUUGCAAAGGAGAUGACCAUGAAGCUAAGUCCCAAAGAAGAAUGGAAUUUCAUCAGGCAAAUUCUGCGGGCUGGGACUUUCCAGACAGAAGGAUAGCUGUGUAUGCAACGACCCUGAUUGAAGAGAAAGAAUGAAAAAAAGGUUGGAGAUAGCUGACAGCUCUAUGUCUCUCCGUCUUUUAUUUUCCUGCCAAUUCUGAUUCCCCAGCUGAAGAACCGCAUCUAUGACUGUGUUCUCUCGAUGUUGACAGAAACUCAAAAUUCAAGUAAUUUUGCUGCAAGUUUCAGUCCAUUCUUGAUAACUCAGAUUCCAAGGUUGCAGGCAGCUUCAGGUCUCCAUAAAAGACUGGUCUCAUUCAAGGACUUGGAUCAGACAGCAGAGUAUGGAUUCUAUUGCCAAUGCCUGGCGGACAAGCCCAGAUCAGGCCUUAAAGUGGGAGGAAGGGUAGCACUCUUCAGAAGGACGGGGAAUAUAUUAGUGCAGGGCUUAAACUCACAAGCUGAAGAGGGAUUUGCCUGCCCCACCCACUGAGCCACCAGGACCCCAUUGUUAAUGUCUCCUUAUGCACCUGCAGAAGUACUUGUUUAAGGAAACAUGGGAUGCCUGGGUGGCUAAGUUGGGUAAGUGUUUGCCUGCAGCUCAGGUCAUGAUCCCAGGGUCCUGUGAUGACGGAGCUCUGCACUUCUCCCUCUACCUCCCUCUGUUUGUGUUCUCUCACUCUCAAAAAAUCGGAGGGGGAGACAAACCAUGAGAGACUGUGGACUCUGAAAAACAAAAGGUUUUCGCAGGGAGGUCAGAAUGUAGAAGAAUGUUGACACUAUCCACCUGGGAAAAAAACAAAACAAAACAACAAAAAAAACCACACACAAAGGAAAAGUUGCCACCAGAAGAAGGAAAGCUCAUCUGCAUUUUGUGUAGUAAUCCUGUGGGAUUCCUUUCAAUGAACAGCAAACAGAAUUGGAGAAGAAAAGAAACCGGAAAAUCCAGAAAAGUUGUUAACAAACUGAGAAAAGCAGAAGAGGAAAAUAGAAUCAGAACUAUAAAGCAGAAAAAAGAACUUGGUUUGGUCUGGGAAUGUGAAACCCGAGAUUUAAGUUUUGACUCCAAAAUAUUGUUUAUAUCUUCCAAAUUCGGCACAAAUGGAGCUGUACCUGUGUCCUUCGUCGUCCUGGGAGGAGGCUUCAGAGGAUUUCCCAUGGCGAGGUGGGAUGAGCUCUCCACGCUGUGCACUAGAUGCCCUGUUCUUGGGGGAAGCUUCAGCUGAACGUCUGCCUGUGGCACCUUCGGGCUUUCAGAAAUAAUAUCUUCUGUUUGGAUUGCAGUUUCUUUCAAACUCUCAUGAGUGUGCUUUCUUCCUAAAGUAUGUAUCUCCUGAUCAUCUUUAUCCCCAGUGGUUUCUGAUUCCCAAUUUUUCAAUAUCUCCAAGGAUUUGGGAGGCACAAUUUUAUAAGUAGUCAUUCCAAUUUUGGGUAUGUAGUCUCUCGUGAUUUCAUUUGAAGGUUUUGGCUUGGGAUCAUAGUCCUGUCUAUACAAUGGAUAAUUCUUCCCAUGAGAAAUAGCUGAAUCCUUAUCAACCCCAUCUAUAGGAGGCAAAAGAUCCUCAUUACUGUGUGAACCAACUGGACCUUUAAUGGGGAGUUGAUUUUCUGAAUGUACAUUUAGGAGGCCCUGACUCCUGAAUGUUCCUGAGGCAUCUACAGCAUCCUGGGGACUUGAAGAGAAGGGCCGAGUUGAUUUAUUGUUACUUGGAGUUGGCACACUU